rnacentral:rRNA from 1 species
ACGCGUGAGUAACCUGCCCUUCACUCUGGGAUAACUCCGGGAAACCGGUGCUAAUACUGGAUGUGACCCUGGCCCGCAUGGGUUGGGGUGGAAAGUUUUUCGGUGGGGGAUGGACUCGCGGCCUAUCAGCUUGUUGGUGGGGUAAUGGCCUACCAAGGCGACGACGGGUAGCCGGCCUGAGAGGGCGACCGGCCACACUGGGACUGAGACACGGCCCAGACUCCUACGGGAGGCAGCAAUGGGGAAUAUUGCACAAUGGGCGAAAGCCUGAUGCAGCGACGCCGCGUGAGGGAUGACGGCCUUCGGGUUGUAAACCUCUUUCAGCUCUGAAGAAGCGAAUAUGUGACGGUAGGAGCAGAAGAAGCACCGGCUAACUACGUGCCAGCAGCCGCGGUAAUACGUAGGGUGCGAGCGUUGUCCGGAAUUAUUGGGCGUAAAGAGCUUGUAGGCGGUUUGUCGCGUCUGCUGUGAAAGCCCGGGGCUUAACCCCGGGUCUGCAGUGGGUACGGGCAGACUAGAGUAUGGUAGGGGAGACUGGAAUUCCUGGUGUAGCGGUGGAAUGCGCAGAUAUCAGGAGGAACACCGAUGGCGAAGGCAGGUCUCUGGGCCAUAACUGACGCUGAGAAGCGAAAGCAUGGGUAGCGAAUGGGAUUAGAUACCCCAGUAGUC